GGGGUCAUAGCUCAGUUGGUUAGAGCGCUUCCCUGUCACGGAAGAGGUCGCGAGUUCGAGUCUCGUUGGCCCCG
rnacentral:tRNA from 1 species